rnacentral:rRNA from 1 species
AACGAACGCUGGCGGCAGGCUUAACACAUGCAAGUCGAACGGUCUCUUCGGAGGCAGUGGCAGACGGGUGAGUAAUGCAUGGAAAUCUACCGUUCUCUACGGAAUAACUCAGGGAAACUUGUGCUAAUACCGUAUACGCCCUUUUGGGGAAAGAUUUAUCGGAGAAUGAUGAGCCCAUGUUGGAUUAGCUAGUUGGUAGGGUAAAGGCCUACCAAGGCGACGAUCCAUAGCUGGUCUGAGAGGAUGAUCAGCCACACUGGGACUGAGACACGGCCCAGACUCCUACGGGAGGCAGCAGUGGGGAAUAUUGGACAAUGGGCGCAAGCCUGAUCCAGCCAUGCCGCGUGAGUGAUGAAGGCCCUAGGGUUGUAAAGCUCUUUCACCGGUGAAGAUAAUGACGGUAACCGGAGAAGAAGCCCCGGCUAACUUCGUGCCAGCCGCCGCGGUAA